GCCUUUGUGGCGUAGUGGUAGCGCGUCGCACUUGUACCAUGUUCAGGCGGGUUAUGCGAAGGUCACUCGUUCAAUCCGGGUCGGAGGCA
rnacentral:tRNA from 1 species